rnacentral:rRNA from 1 species
UACGGGGGGGGCAAGCGUUGUUCGGAAUUACUGGGCGUAAAGGGCUCGUAGGCGGCCAACUAAGUCAGACGUGAAAUCCCCAGGCUUAACCUGGGAACUGCGUCUGAUACUGGAUGGCUUGAAUUCUGGAGAGUGAUGCAGAAUUCCAGGUGUAGCGGUGAAAUGCGUAGAUAUCGUAAGGAAGACCAGUGGCGAAGGCGAGUCUCUGGACAGUUACCGACGCUGAGGCACGAAGGUCAGGGGAGCAAACGGG